rnacentral:rRNA from 1 species
CACGGGAGCAAUCCUGGGUGGGCGAGUGGGCGAACGGGUGAGUAAUAGUAUCGGAACGUGCCCAGUCGUGGGGGAUAACGUAGCGAAAGCUACGCUAAUACCGCAUACGAUCUAUGGAUGAAANCGGGGGAUCGCAAGACCUCGCGCGAUUGGAGCGGCCGAUAUCAGAUUAGGGUAGUUGGUGAGGUAAAGGCUCACCAAGCCGACGAUCUGUAGCUGGUCUGAGAGGACGACCAGCCACACUGGGACUGAGACACGGCCCAGACUCCUACGGGAGGCAGCAGUGGGGAAUUUUGGACAAUGGGCGCAAGCCUGAUCCAGCAAUGCCGCGUGCAGGAUGAAGGCCUUCGGGUUGUAAACUGCUUUGUACGGAACGAAACGGUGAGCUCUAAUACAGUUUGCUAAUGACGGUACCGUAAGAAUAAGCACCGGCUAACUACGUG